GUUCGACUUUUUUUUAACACCCCACAUUCAGUUUGUUUCAGACUCUGAAGAAGUAAGGACCUUAAGAUGAAGCACUUUUUCUUGGCAAAGAAAAAGUUAUAAAAAUUGAUAAUAUGCGGAUUUGUACCUUUUUGAAUGUUUUCUAAGGCACUCCUCUCUGAAAUAACAAUGGCGUAAGGAAACUCACUCAACCAAAAACGGAUUAAGUGGGGAUGGCAAAAAAAAACAGCUAAAAUCGCCGGCAAAGAGGCGCAAAAACUUGACCAGGCCAACGAUGGAUGGUGGCGAAUUAUUAUGCAGCAGCAAUUACUCGCCAAUUGUCGUCGCAAUGAGAUAGUAUAGAGAAUGGGAACAAAAGAGGAAAAAGCUGUUCGAAAAGGCGAUAAUCCGGUCGUCGGGAACGAUGGACAUCGAAUCGAAUCGAAUCGGAUCGGAUCGCAAUGAUCAAACGCCUCUGGAACUUGGGAUCUUGGCCAGCUCAACGGUUUUGGCCCGGCCGGCUAUGACCAAAUGCAGAGGAUCAGGAGUUGCCAGUCGCCCCCUGUGAUUAUUUUUAUUAUAAUUGCGCGUUUAUUGGCGUGAGGAUAUGUGUUGCCACUCGAAUCCGUGGGGACACUCGCUACACAAUCGCACCGCCUCGACUUGGUACACAAACGGCAAACGGCAAAUCGGCUUUGAUUUGUGUGGCAAACUUGGCGCUUGUUAUACAGCAUUUUUGCGUCUCUUAAAUGCUGCAUUUUCCUCUGCAUUUGUUGCUCUUUAGUUUAAAUGGCUUAUAUGACUUAUAUAUGGGUUGCAAAGAAGUCUAUGAAGAUGACAUUGUGUUAGACUCUUGAGGCUUGUAGAACACCAUUGCAUUAAGCUUUCUUUAGGGAUUUUAGGAUCAAAAAUGGUUUAGACUUUCAAUUAAUUAAAAGUAUAGAUCGAAAGCUUAAUUUAAUUGUAUUACCUUAAUAUAAUUUAAAAAUUUAUACAUCAAUUUUAUUACAAGGUUUGCUAUCAUCGUUUUUCUCCUAGUUUUCACUUCAAAAUGUAUAAUUCUUUAAAAUGCCUGUACCAAUUAAGUGUGGUUUACAAAAUCAAACACAAGAACCCAAAAUAAAUAACAAUUCUUAUGUUGUUCAUAUCAGAUCUGGUUUAUUGUAAUGUCUAAUGGCUUAUUUCCCACUUGUCAUAUCAAUAAUCUCGAUUGGAGCCUCACCUUCAUUACCUCAUCAAUUAUUUCAAGCAAAUGCAAUUCAAUUAGGAAGUGCAUUUAUAAUAACCCAAGUCGAACUGUAAACUCGAAUUUAAGUUGUUAAAUUAUAUUUCAAGUAGAUUUCAAAUCAAGAAAUUGCCGUUGGCGCCAACAGUUCCAACAAAGGCGUUAAACUGUUGGAAAUCUUCCUGAAAUAAUUAACUAUUGAGCUGAAAAGCAAUUGAAAACACAAAAAGUGUUUUACAGAUGAAAAUCUCGAGCAAUUUUCAGACCCAGCCUAUCAUUUUUUACUGGCACAGAAAAAAACAAAUGUAAUGCUUGAAUUUAUUUAUACAAAAUCUAGGAGGAGUGUUUCUAAUCUAAUUCAAUAAACUUGUAUAAUAAAACCAGGAUAUUUAUUCAGAGCAUAAAUAAAAUGUGAAAAUAACAUUAGAUGCUUAAUGCUGUUGCUUGUUUUUUUAUAAUUUAUUUACAGUAAUCCAGAACUUUACAUAAAAUAUAAGCGCCCAAUCCAAUAUAUUUAUAUUUUUAUAGGUUUUUUUUUAUUUAUGCACCAUAAACUUUUAUAUGUCUACACUCGAAGCGAAUAUAAUAUUAAAGCCAGACAUAUUUGCCCUAAGGUGCGACUUGCUUAAAAACAAUUAAACCGCAGAAAAAGCGCUAAUAAAAUAUUAAAAUAAUCAAGGGAACAGCACGCCAAUGGCUCAUUUGUAAUGCUCCAGAAGAAUUCCGCGUGUCAGAGGAGAGCUGAUGUGGAUAUAUAGUGGAUAUAUAAUUACAUGGCCUUUUGUUGUCUGCACUUUGCGUUCGCUGCUGCGGGUGUUGUAAUGCGACAAUUAAAGUUAUAAAACUUUCUGUUUCUUGGCCGGCCUUAGCAUAAUCGCACAAUUUGUCAACGAGUCGGCCGCAGACAACCCCUUUCAUAUCACAUUUAAUUGUUUUUCCCUGAUUGUUCGCGCUUGCCUGUUUUUUUUUUUCUGUUUUUUAAUAUAAAUGCAAAGUUUUGGGGUUAACCAGUGGGGUUUAAAUGCGUUAAAGAGAAAAAUGUGCUCGGCAUGGCGUGCCUGCAAGUGUGAAGUGAAAAAUUGGCUUUCAGGCAUCUUCAUAUGGAUGAGUAGCCAUUAGGAAGCCAAAGGUAAUAAUUUCUAGUUCUACACAAGGGAAAAUAUAUGCUUAUCCAUAUAUGGUAAAUGUCUAGGGGAAUAUCUAGUACCAUAUUAUCAUGCUAAGUAGCUUAACUUACCGGGUGGCCAAAAUACCAACCACCACUUAAAAGCUAAUUACAUUUUUAUGCUGUCCCUUUAAGGUAACAUAUAAAUUAAUUGGGGAAAUAUUAUAUUCAUAUAAUAAUUUAAUAUAUUAGUAAGUCAAAUAUAAAAUGAUAAAAAAAAUUAAGUAAGCUCCUAAAAAUCGCCACAACAGACAUCGAAUUUAUUCGCACUUAACCAGUAGCAUUACAGAUGUAUUUAAUGUAAGGAAAGGCUCCUAUCAAAAUCGCAAAAUCGCUAUUAUCUUUGGCAUAACAAUCAUUUGGAAUAUUUUAUGCCGCUGUUUUACCAAUUAUAAUCAGAUUAAACAAGACAAAUGCAUUUGGCGAACAGCGCAAAAUGAGAGAAUACCAUAAACCGGCCAAAUUAUUGCAAAUAAAUAUGGAUGUAAAAUUGCUGAAUGAGGCGGCUAAGAAUUUGAUUUGCGGCUACAUUCUAUGACAUUUAAAUGGAAUACAUGAAAUCGAGCAGUUUAUUCUGAACAAAACUAACCAUCGGGAUUAGACCAUAAAGCAUGCUAGAGUGCUCGUGCUCG